GCGCCUGUGGCUCAAAGGAAUAGGGCGCUGGCCCCAUAUGCCAGAGGUGGUAGGUUCAAACCCAGCCAGGGUCA
rfam:Otolemur garnettii contig026024, whole genome shotgun sequence.